rnacentral:rRNA from 1 species
UACGGGGGAGCAAGCGUUGUUCGGAUUUACUGGGCGUAAAGGGCGCGUAGGCGGCCACCGCAAGUCGACUGUGAAAUCUCCGGGCUUAACCCGGAAAGGUCAGCCGAUACUGCGGGCUAGAGUGCAGAAGGGGCAACUGGAAUUCUCGGUGUAGCGGUGAAAUGCGCAGAUAUCGGGAAGAACACCCGUGGCGAAGGCGGCUCUCUGGGCCUUACCUGACGCUGAGGAGCGAAAGCGUGGGUAGCGAACAGG